AUACUUAUAAUUAUAGAUUAUCAAAUUCUAUGAAAAAGUAUGGGUACCAGGUAGGACAUUGCAAAAUGGAAUAGACUAGGCACUGGUGCACGGCACUGCUGCAAGUCUAUUCCCAGAGGAAUGUAGGAUAUACUCCGCAUUGUGUAUGUUUGUAUAUGUAUCUAUAUAAUUUCAACUUCAAUUUUGUUGUCCAGUAGUUGGCUAUUUAGUUGAUGAAUCUACUACUUUAAGUUGUGUCCAAGGUAGUGACGUAUCUAGGGGAUGGGCAGGGUUGUGGGGUGCCAUUUUAAAAUGUCAGAAGCAACCACGUUGUUAAAAAUCAUUACAUAAAAAAUUAUUUUGAUGUAGCACCCCCUCAGUUAAUCAUCAAGCCCCCAUUUCACCUUCACACGCCCCCAACCCCUUCAGCCCUGCCUAGAUAUGCUACUGAUUAGAGGAAGUGUUGCCAGAGUGUUAGUUAUUGUUAUUAUAUAACAGUGGAUCAGGUAGCAAGUUGUUGAAUGCAGUUCAAAGUUCAUGAAUGUCGCUUGUUAUUUACUUUACUGUUUUUCUACUACAGUUUGCAAAUUCCAAGACCCCUCUAAUUUUGAGAACCCUCUGAACUAUGAUACACCAACCAAGCUCUAAUUAGAGACCGAACCCCCAAAACCACCCCUCACUCUCCUGAAUAUAUUUUGUGAGUGCAUUAUGUUUUUCUUAGGGAUAGAUUUCUUUUUGUGAGGUUGUCUUCCAAAAUACUGUACCUUAGUCAAAACACUAUUAACUUAUAUUAUUGAUCAUGGACCAAAAAUGCAUAAAAAAUAUGAAAAACAUUUAUUUUUUUAAAAUUUUUAUAAAUAUUUUAUAAUUAUCAUUAUUGCUUUUAAAGUCAUAAUUAAACUAAAUGAUAAAUACUGUAUCAAUAGUUGAAUUGUUAUAAAUUAUGUAUUAUUUUAUGAAAUUGAGGUGUUCUGAUAAUUGUAAAGUCCUUUAAGUCAGUAUCAUUUUUUUAAGAGCGAGCCUAGGUAAAGUUUGUGGUUUCCCAACCUCGAGGUCAGAAUUUCAAUCCCUCGCUGUGCAUUUGUUUGUGUCUACCCAGCUCUAUCAAUGAGUACCAGUGAACUGCUGGGGGUAACCUGCGGCGGACUAGCGUCCCACCCAGGGGGAGUAUGCAUUCUCAUUGGUUUCAGGCUACAGAAACUGGAGAUACAGUAAGUUCUAGCCCUACGAGUACGAGUGGCUCGGCAAGGAUUUACUUUACUUAAAGUUUAUAGUUGAAGGAAGUCUAGUUUUGGAUUGCUCAUACUGUCAUUAAAUUAGGUCAUAGUUAAGCACACAGAGGCAGUUUAAUGCAAUAAUAUGCAUUAUAUAAAUAUUGCACUAUUAUUCUGUAUACUCGUACAUUAUGGCAACAAUUGUAUAAUGCAGUUGAUGUAUGGAAGGGGAACAGACGUAUUAGAGAGCUUUGAUUGCACGACGCGGUAGAACCUAGAAGAUAGUGACGUCACUAAUAAUUCAUCUGCGCAUGUGUUCUGGCCGCGUAGAUUCUAGGAUGCAGUUUGACCAAAUCUAUGUUUCACGCUCAGAGAAUGUAUGACGGUCACGCAUGAGUGAAUCUGUUUUAGCAUCGUGCCUCUUUGUUGCGCAAAUCACAAGCUCUCUGUUGGCUCUUGGAUACUGUAUGGAUUCAUAGGGGAAAAGCUCUCCACUAGGGUGUUAGACAAUUCCUACCAAGGAUGUCAAAAGUUAAUAUACUGUAUGUAAUUACAAUUUUUUUAAAAACUUGUAAAAAGAUUUAAAAAAAAAAAAUUAUAAAACUAAAAACACAAAAAAUAUUUUCAUUAACUUGUAUUUGUGUAAGUUAGUAGUAGUAAGAUACAUUUUUUUCUUAUUCCAAAAAAUAGUAAAAAAAAUAAAAAAAUUAAAAAUAUACAUUUGCUUGUAACCUUUUAAAUUCUUUAAAGAUAUACUGCCUUUCUCUGAAAAAAAUACAAUAAUAAGAAUGCUCAUAUAUGCUUUGUAUAGGCAAUUCAAUGCUCAAUUCAGUAUUUCAUAUACUAUGGAUAAAUCUUCCAAUUAACUACGAAUAUAAAAUGAAAAUGAUAUUAAAAUUAUUUUGAAUACAAAUAGCAUUUAAUCCUGUGUUACAAUUCACUUUAUGGCAAUACAUUUUGUACUUUAUUGGUUAUAUGUUCAAUAAUUUAACAUAAAAACAUGACAAUGAAAAACGUAGUAAAUGAUAAAGUUUUAGUAAAUUAACUCAUUAUAAUAUAGCAAUUUCAGGUCCAUUGAAUUUGUAUAUGCAACUAAAAAUUGUUAAUGUUAAUGACGUAUAGGAUAACAAAGAAUAAACAAAAAAUAAUAACAUCAUUAAACCCAUAUUACAAACAUGAUUCAAACAAUCUGUUUAGUGGACCAUGUGACUGUAUAAUGGGCAUUAUGGCAAUACUUUCAUUACAGAGUAAUAAAAAAAAAAAACACUACCUAAUUCCACUAAACUAAUAAUUGACUUUAUAAAAAUAGUGUUGAUAUAAUAAAA
rnacentral:lncRNA from 1 species